rnacentral:rRNA from 1 species
GACGAACGCUGGCGGCGUGCCUAAUACAUGCAAGUCGAACGCUUCUUUCCUCCCGAGUGCUUGCACUCAAUUGGAAAGAGGAGUGGCGGACGGGUGAGUAACACGUGGGUAACCUACCCAUCAGAGGGGGAUAACACUUGGAAACAGGUGCUAAUACCGCAUAACAGUUUAUGCCGCAUGGCAUAAGAGUUAAAGGCGCUUUCGGUUGUCGCUGAUGGAUGGACCCGCGGUGCAUUAGCUAGUUGGUGAGGUAACGGCUCACCAAGGCCACGAUGCAUAGCCGACCUGAGAGGGUGAUCGGCCACACUGGGACUGAGACACGGCCCAGACUCCUACGGGAGGCAGCAGUAGGGAAUCUUCGGCAAUGGACGAAAGUCUGACCGAGCAACGCCGCGUGAGUGAAGAAGGUUUUCGGAUCGUAAAACUCUGUUGUUAGAGAAGAACAAGGACGUUAGUAACUGAACGUCCCCUGACGGUAUCUAACCAGAAAGCCACGGCUAACUACGUG